rnacentral:hammerhead_ribozyme from 1 species
AUACUGCUGAUGAGUCCCAUAAUAGGACGAAACGGUCGUCCAGUGU